CAGGUAUAAUGUUGGCUCGCCCUGUGAAUCCACUGACUAGAAACGCUGUUGAAGAAAAAUCACAUACUUAUGCCAAAAAGCAAGGCAUAGAAGACAGAAGCAGAUUUACUGAGAGACUGAGCAUGAACAGAACUGCUCCAAGACCCAGAAGACAUCACAGUGAGGAGAGACUUCCUCUGAGAUUCUUAUAGAAUCCAACAGUGCUCUGCUCCCUCGGGGGGCUGCAGCUAUGGGAACAUGGGUAUGGUGCCACAUACCCAUCAGUCAUAGCAACAGGAGAGCUUCUUCAAACUACUUUGAUGGUAGUGACGUUAGCCUGAGGAAGCCAGAACCAGAAAGGAAGAAUAUGAAGAUGUCACACUGGGAGUGUGGGCACCUGUGAGGCCUCCCUUUGGAGACCGGCAGACAUAAUUGCAAGACACUUGCAUGCUGAGGUCUUGUAAACAUACUGCUGGAGGCAUUGUAAUUCGGGCAUUAAUAAUAAAAGAGGUCUAAUUUAUAUACAUAGACUGGCAA